AUUGAACGCUGGCGGCAUGCCUUACACAUGCAAGUCGAACGGUAACAGGUCUUCGGAUGCUGACGAGUGGCGAACGGGUGAGUAAUACAUCGGAACGUGCCUAGUAGUGGGGGAUAACUACUCGAAAGAGUGGCUAAUACCGCAUGAGAUCUACGGAUGAAAGCAGGGGAUCGCAAGACCUUGUGCUACUAGAGCGGCCGAUGGCAGAUUAGGGAGUUGGUGGGAUAAAAGCUUACCAAGCCGACGGUCUGUAGCUGGUCUGAGAGGACGAUCAGCCACACUGGGACUGAGACACGGCCCAGACUCCUCCGGGAGGCAGCAGUGGGGAAUUUUGGACAAUGGGCGAAAGCCUGAUCCAGCAAUGCCGCGUGCAGGAUGAAGGCCUUCGGGUUGUAAACUGCUUUUGUACGGAACGAAAAGCCCCGGGUUAAUACCCUGGGGUCAUGACGGUACCGUAAGAAUAAGCACCGGCUAACUACGUGCCAGCCGCCGCCGUAA
rnacentral:rRNA from 1 species